AAAGAUUCUGAAUGUAUUCAGCUGAAAAUGUUUACUUAAUAUUUAUUAAUCAUCUUUAAUCAAACUGAUUGACCUAAUUUUUCUUAUUUACUUACAUGCGUGGCGAGUUCGAAACGCACAAUUAUUACACCGAUGAAUACAGUCCAUAAUGGCCAAACAGAAGAACACGGAGAAAAACAAAACGAUUGCAAACGUACUUAAACCGAAAAUACCCCAAUAAAUUGUAUCCAUAUUGUUCACAACUGGAAACACUAUUUCGAUUCAUUUGCCCGAAAAAUGUCUGAACCAACGUUGAGAUCGUGUUGAUUAAAGAUAAUAUUUGUUGACAGAGUUUUAUUGAAAUUAUAAAACGUGUUAGCAAAUGUUGUAAAUGAGGAGCGACGCUCCUGAUGACUUGGAAAUUUUGCUGGAAGUUUCGCAAAAUUUCCUCAGUUCACAAUUUUGUGCAUGUUUGGAACACCAUCGAAAACGAUCUUGUAUUUAAUAUUAAUAAAGCAAAUAAUUCAGUUUAUGUUUACUGCACAUUCAGUCUACUUAAUCUUCUGAAGCUGUUGAUAAGCCGACUAUUACGCAGCUCAUGUAUAUCAAUAGGGAAGAAACUACGCAAUACGCGAACAUCAGCAGGCGAAUAAUCAGAAGUAAGCCACAAAAGGCCAUCAUAUAGAACACGAAAGAGAGGAAAUACAUGUAAAAAUCCCUUUCGAACAUCGCGGUAAAUUUUCGUUCUCGGGUACUGCAAUCACCAAGAGUUUUCACUCGCUUACCUUUAAUAAAAUUAGGAGCAACUGACUGGUAAAUGUAUACAAAGAUAAGAUAAUUCUAAUGCCGUCAUUGUCUACAUCUUAAUUGCUAAGAUUUCUCUCUGCUUACUUGCACAUUGUUUUGGCAAAACAGGGACCUUUUCGUCAAAAAACUUGCUUGGGCUUAAGUAAGUUCGGAUUUUUGCUGAUUUAUUCACAAACUUUCCCGAAUUCGAAAUUCUGAAAAAUUUUAACAGUUUUUUGCGCCAGCACGAAUUCGAAUUUCAGAACUUGAAAAGUGAAACUCGAAUUUCGAAUGCCAAUAUUUGCAUGGUGUUCAUUUGCAUUUAUUUUGUAAAUUUUAUAUAUUUAUAUUUUGAACACUUGCAGGAUUAUUUCUGUGGAAAUUUCUGUGGAUUUUUUGUCUAAAUAAUGUUUGUGUUAAUCCUAACUAAAAAACCUCCAAGUGUUUGCAAUCGUUCACACUAAAGAACAAUCGUUUCGAAAUCCUGCAAAGAUUAGCUCUGGCUAUCAGGAAAUAUUAUCAAGCAUUUUCGAUAUUUGCGGUGCUGAUAAUGCGAAAUAAUGCUACUUUUGCUCAUUAUUGCCAACCAUUGUGUUAACGAUUUUUUGCGCUAAGCUUCACUCGUUUUGUGCGAUGGUGCGUAGUUUAAUCAAUACUCCAAACCGGUUUUUUUGAGUGUUGAAGUAAAUAGAUGAAGAUUAGAUUUUGGAUCAUAUCUUGGACGCACAAACUACUUCAAAUAUUGUCUGUUCUGAUGACUUGAUUGAAACUCGUCUAGUUCUUAAAAAUGGCCAACGUUUCGACCCAUUUCCAAAUUUAUAACUCAAUUUCAAACUAGAGAUACUAGAGGGAUUAGAACCAAGUCAACCCAUUGAAAAGCUAUUUUAAAUAAAGGUGCGGAAAUCGUCGAAUUUUGCCAGAAACUAAUGAUUAUCUUGAAACGUUUUUAAUGUUUACAAGCAGACCUGUUGUUCAAACUGGCUAUCAGAAAAAUAAGUUCGCGCCGUCAUUAGGAAAGGGAUUUUCCACGAUUUUGCCUCAUUUUAACAAUAUUUGUUGCAUGUUGGUUGUAAAGAUUACAGGCUCCUUUGAAUCCAGCUCACUCGGUUUUUAGUAAUAUUACAUAAGAUAGUAAUAAAAAAUCUAUUUUCGACCUCGUCA